rnacentral:rRNA from 1 species
AUGGCGACGGAGGUCACCCUCCGCCGCUUCGACCUCUCGGACGUCGACGCCAUGAUGGCAUGGGCGUCCGACCCCGAGGUCGCCGCCUUCUGCCGCUGGGAGCCCUAUGCGUCCACGGAGACGGAAGCCCUGCUCGCCCACAUCCGGGACACCGCGCUCUCGCACCAGUGGUACCGCGCCAUCUGCCUCGCCGGCGACGCCCGCCCCGUCGGCUCGGUGUCCCUGGAGCCCACGGCUGACCCGUGCCGCGGGGAGCUCGGCUACGUGGUGGCCCGCGCGCACUGGGGCAGGGGCGUGGCUACGGCCGCCGUGAGGGCCGCGCUCGCCGCGGUGUUCCGCGAGGUGGAGGGGCUGGUGCGCGUGGAGGCGCUGGUGGACGUGGACAACGCGGCGUCGCAGCGCGUGGCGGAGAAGGCCGGGUUCCGGCGCGAGGGCGUCCUGCGGCGCCACUACUGGCACAAGGGCCGCGUCAGGGAUCUCGCCAUCUACGGCUUCGUCUCCGGCGACCCCUUGCCCCCAUCACACGAGGAUGAGGGUCGGGAAUCGAUGGAGCAAGAAGCGGCAGCCCGGACGCCGGAGCGCGCGGAUGAGGUGACCCUCCGGCCGUUCGACCUCGCCGACGCCGACGCCGAAGCCAUGACGGCGUGGGCGGAACACCCCGUACUAGUACCACCUACGGCCGCCAUGGCGUCGGGGGUCUACUUCUCCCCGCCCCGCGACGCCCUGCUCGCGUUCCUCCGGGGCACCGACCCUCCGCACACCUGGAUCCGCGCCGUCUGCCUCGGCGGCGCCAUCGUGGGCGCGGUGACCGUGUCGCGCACAGAAGAUCGGUGCCGCGCGGAGGUCGGGACCGCGCUGGCGCGCGCGCACCGGGGCAGGGGCGCGGCCGCGGCGGCCCUGAGGCUCGCGGCGACCGCGGCGUUGGGGGACCUGGAGGGCGUGGAGCGCGUGGAGGCGCUGGUGGACGCAGACGACGCCGCGUCCCGGCGCGCGGUGGAGGACGCCGGGUUCCGCCGCGAGGCCGUGAUGCGGAGCCACCGCGACGCCAGGGACGUGGUCGUCUACAGCCUCAUGUCCACCGACGACGACCCACUCAUCGACUUACCCAGGUCAUGA